rnacentral:lncRNA from 1 species
GGCUAAGGUCAAGUAAACGACUCUCACUAGUCUAACAACCAACAGGUCACGUGCACUCGGCACAAUCUGAUGCCAAAACGGCGAUACGGGUCCACCGUUAAUCCCGACGGCACCCAACAGUCCGGAACAGCCUAAACGCUACUGUAAAAAUUCACUCGACAUCCCAGUGCGAGUGUAACUGAAAUCUAAACUACCUGGGAUACUUGCUAUGAUGAUACUGCAACAGUAUAAAAUCAUACAAUGGCCCCUAAGGCUAAAUCAGGUAGUUUAAACAGGUGACAGGUCCAAAUCGCAGGUUUUCUCCUAAUUCAAAUUCCAAGUCCAACAUGUAUAAACUACUCAAUUUAUUACCACAUGCUCCAAAUUCAGAUUGGCAAUCUACAAAAUAAUCCAUGAAUUCGAGCUAGAAUAGACUAUAUCAAAAUUGAAGUUCACACAUGUCGACGAUUAGAACUUAGGAGUCAAAACCGAUGUAACCCACCUCAAGAAGCUAGCUCCUGGCAGCGAACAAGGCCUCGAACCAAAGUGACCCCUGCUGGAUCAACGGGAACCCUCCAAGUCUAGCACUCGAGCUAACUCCAAGCUCUACGAUCAAAAUCCACCAAUUCAGUCCCAAUUUCGCAGCAACAGAGUAGAAAAGGGAUUCGACCAAGCUAAACUUCACCAAAUCCAGCAAGUAAGGGCUUCGCGGAUUCCUCUCGAAGUCCCGAAUCCAACGAACCAAGUCUCGUCGCAAUCCGAUGCUCCUACGUCGAGAACGAGCUGAAAUACUAACAGUCGACGACAAGAUCCUGCGAAUCAGCACUUAAGCUCGAAUUGAUGAUACCCGAAGUAUGCGCAGCAAUUCCAUAGAGCACUCACCUCGAUAGAUCCUCAAGAGUCGGCGCAAUGUCGAGGACGACGGAAAUCCACGCUCGCCCGAGCUCCUCACAGCACCAAGACGACACAACGUGCGCCCGAACGGCUCCGCGGCACCACGUCGGCGACGAAACUCCACCCGAGCUCCACCUUGCUCACAAUCGGCUCUAGAGAGAGAGACGGAGGGAACCAAGAGCAAAACUCUCUCUCUCAGCCUCACUCUACAUGUAAAUAAGCUGGGGAGAGGAGCGUGAUACGAACGAGGUAGAAAAAGACCAAAACACCAUCUCACUUACCCUGGUGUACCGGUACACUGGAUCGCGUACCGGUACAGGAAGCCAACCCGAGAGCAGUACGCACUCAGCCAGUGUAGUGUACCGGUACACCUCGCUGGCUGUACCAGUACAGCAAGCAGGAAAACCUGCUAUUUUGCAGAUUUCUUCGCUGAAAGCUGCCCUCGCGUCGCACGGAGUCUGUUUUGCGUCUAUUUGACGCCAACGCGACUCGGACUUGUCCCGACACUUUCCAGAGCUGUCGACAAGCCUCCACAGUCAAACACCAGGGAUCUCACAUCCUGCCCCACUACGAAAAGUUUCGUCCGCGAAACUGAAAUGUACCUCUGCUUAGGCAUCAAACAAAUAGGGAUAGGCUUCCCUCAUCACCGUCUCAGGCUCCCCAGUCGCCUCCCGCUCAUCAUGAUUACUCCACUGCAUUUUCACAUACGGGAUGACCCGGUUGCGCAAUUCUUUCGUCUCUCGAGCAAGAAUCCGCAACGGUCGCUCCUCGUAUCUCAGAUCCUCACCAAUCUCUAGUAGAGUGAAGUCAAUCACAUCAGAGGGAUCGAAAACGUAUCUCCUCAAUGCUGAGACAUGGAAAACAUCGUGGAUGCCAGCAAGUUGCGAGCGUAGAGCUAUCCUGUAAGCAACCGGUCCGAUACGCUCCCAUACCUCGAAAGGGCCAACAAACCGUGGACUAAGCUUUCCACGUACUCCAAAUCGGCGUAUCCCUCUAGACGGCGAGACUUUGAGAAAAACAUGAUCUCCAACCUGAAACUCUAAGUCUCGUCUCCUGGUAUCUGCGUAGCUCCUCUGUUGGCUCUGUGCUAUCAAAAGGUGUCGUCGAACGACUCUCACCUUUUCUUCAGCCUCAAGUAGAAUGUCCGGUCCAAAUGUCCUCCACUCACCCACAUCGCUCCAAAACAGGGGGGAUCGACAUCUCCGUCCAUACAACGCCUCAAACGGAGCCAUCCGAAUGCUCGUUUGAUAGCUGUUGUUGUACGCAAACUCAACAAGUCUCAGAUGUCGAUACCACCCUUCUCCAAAAUCCAGGACGCAUGCCCUCAGCAUGUCCUCAAGAGUCUGUAUGGUCCGCUCUGACUGACCAUCUGUUUGUAGGUAGAAUGCGGUGCUAAAAUGCAGCUGUGUGCCCAAGGCUGUCUGAAGGCUCCUCCAAAAUUGGGAUACAAACCUCGGGUCUCUGUCUGAUACAAUCGAUACUGGCACGCCGUGCAGCCUAAUGAUCUCAUCCAAGUAUAGCUGCGCGAGUCUCUCACUGGACCAGAUAGUCUGAACCGGUAGGAAGUGAGCAGACUUGGUCAGUCUGUCCACUAUCACCCAAAUCGCGUCGUAGCCACCCUGCGCUCUAGGCAAUCCAACGACGAAGUCCAUCGUGAUGCACUCCCAUUUCCACUCGAGCACUGGUAGACUCUAAAGCUUGCCAGCAGGCACCUGAUGCUCGGCCUUCACCUGUUGGCCAGUCAAACACUGAGUCACAUAUCUGCCAAUGUCCCUCUUCAUUCCAGGCCACCAGAAUCGUGCCUUAAGAUCCUUAUACAUCUUGGUUUCCCCCAGGGUGAACCGUAUAAGGGGAACAAUGAGCCUCUCUCAAAAUAUCUGCUCGAAUCUCAGAAUCCACAGGCACACACAGUCGGUCCCUGUACCGUAGUACUCCCGAACCGUCCAAAGCAAAUCCCUCAGCCUGCCCCCUGUCUAGCUGCUUUCUAAUCCUCAACAAGUACGGAUCUCCACUUUGUUUCUCUCGGAUCCUAUACAACAGAGUGGGCUGUAACAACAGAGACGUCAGCCUCGUCGUAGACCCAGGGGUACUAUCUCGAGUCCCAGCCGCUGUAGCUCCUUGAGUAGGGGUCUCUGCUCAGUAAUCCUCAAACUCAGGCUCUGCACUGACUUCCUGCUCAACGCAUCUACCACCACAUUCGCCCUGCCGGGAUGAUACUGUAUACUAAUGCUAUAGUCCUUCAGUAACUCGAACCACCGGCGCUGCCUCAGGUUCAGCUCCCUCUGUGUGAACAGAUACUUGAGACUUUUAUGAUCGGUGAAGGCCUCGCAGUGCUCGCCGUACAAGUAAUGCCGCCAAAGCUUCAAAGCAAAAACCACCGCGGCAAGUUCCAAGUCAUGCGUAGGGUAAUUCUUCUCGUAAUCCUUUAAAUACCGUGAAGCAUAAGCAAUCACCCUACCAUGCUGCAUCAGCACGCAACCAAGUCCAUUGUGCGAUGCAUCACUAUAGAUCACGAAUCCAUUCCCCAUCACUGGAAGGACAAGGCUAGGAGUCGACGUCAACCUCAGUCUCAACUCGUCAAAGCUCCUCUGACAAUCGUCACUCCAGACAAAACGAAUCCCCUUCCGCGUCAAGCGUGUGAGGGGUGUGGAAAGCUUCGCAAAGCCUUCCACAAACCGACGGUAAUAUCCAGCCAGUCCCAGGAAGCUCCGUACCUCAGUCAGCGUCGUCGGUCUAGGCCAAUCUCGAAUCGUCUCAAUCUUCUUCGAGUCCACUGAUACGCCCUCAGUUGAAAUCACGUGGCCCAAGAAAGCAACCUCCCAUAGCCAGAGCUCGCACUUCUUCAACUUGGCAUACAACUUUUUCUCGCGCAGAAGCUGUAGCACAAUCCUCAAGUGCUCCUCAUGCUCAGCAUCACUCCAGGAGUAAAUUAGGAUAUCGUCUAUGAAGACUACCACAAACCUAUCCAAGAACGGCUUGAACACUCUAUUCAUCAAAUCCAUAAAUGUAGCAGGGGUAUUCGUCCAUCCAAAAGGUAUCACCGUGAACUCAUAAUGCUCAUACCGAGUCCGAAAAGUCGUCUUGGGAACAUCCUCGGCCCUCACCCUCAACUGGUGGUAACCUGACUGGAGAUCAAUAUUCGAGAAGACAUAAGAUCCCUGCAGCUGAUCAAACAAAUCAUCAAUGCGCGGCAAGGGAUACUUAUUCUUGAUGGUCACUUUAUUCAGCUCCCGGCAAUCCACACACAGCCUAAGUGAACCAUCCUUCUUCCUCACAAACAACACUGGCGCUCCCCAAGGCGACACACUCGAUCUCACAAACCCUCUAUCCAUCAAAUUCAGAAGCUGCGCCUUUAGCUCCCUUAGCUCUGCCGGCGCCAUACGAUAAGGUACCUUCGAGUUUUGUGCAGUUCCAGGAACUACAUCAAUCACAAACUCAUUCUCCCUCUCCGGCGGCAACGACGUCAACUCAGGGGAAAUACAUCCGGAAACUUGCGGACUACUAGGAUAUCCUCGAGUCCCGGCGUCGCCGUAGGUAUCUCCACAACUGUCGCUAGGAAAGCGAUACACCCGGUACUCAGCAUCUGUCGAGUCCUCGCCGAAGAUAUCCAGGUGGCAAACAGCGUGCUCCUGCAGCCUCUAAAGUGAACUCCUCCCGGCCUGGCCCACGGAACGUCACCGUCCUUGCUUCACAGUCGAUAAUAGCCUAGUCCCGGGUCCGUCAAUCCAUACCGAGCACGACGUCGAAGUCCUGCAGCUGCCCUAACACCAACAGGUCUACAGCAAAAUCCAAGACUCUAGCUGCACCGGACAAGACCAACCACACUCCGCAACCUGUAACACAUGGUCAGGGAUCUGCACCUCUCGGCCAAAGAUAAUGACCCUAACUCUAGACCAUGCAACAGUGCCAACGCUCGGCUCACAAAAGAAUGGGAGGCAUCAGUAUCAACUAAAGUACGAGUACAUAUGCCGAAAAUUAAAAUGAUACCUGCCACCACACGAUCGGCUGCUGAAGAGUCUUCCUGGCGGUAGCUCGGUGGUGCUCCAAAAGCCUACUGGUCAGCUGGCUGCGCUGUUGCAAUGGAUAGUGCUGGUAUUGUCGCUCUAGAACACGCUGACCUCACAUGUCUUGGCUGUCCACACGUGUAGCAACGGCCCUCUUUCUGCACACACUUUCUGGGCCAGUGUGGUCCUUCGCAGACCACACACUGCGGCGUCCUCGGUGACGGUCCCUGCUGAAGCGAUCCCCUGGAAUGCUGACGCCCGGAUGAACCACGACCCUGAGAGCCAGAUCGAGAAAACCUCAGCGGACGUCUGCUACUCGUCUGUCCUCCAUCAUCUGGAAAAGGGCGCUUCCUGUCCUGGCUUUGCCCUGGUGCCGUAAUUCGCUCCUGGACGGGUGUAACUCCGUAUCCCACCAAGAGUGCCUGCUGCACAGAUGCUCCUGUCUCAACGCCUGACCACUGAGUGAUAAUCUCAUAAAUCCUCUGCAAUAGUACACUCUGCUGCUUGAUCACCUUUGUCAGGGCAGCCACCUGCUCUCUCAAAUCAGGGGGUGCACUCACCUCCGGUCGUGCACUCGGCUCUGCUUGGUUAGGCAUCUCUAGCGGUGCGACUCGAUCCCUGGUCGACGGUCGACCUCGGCAGCGAUCUGAGAAAAACGGAACGAGGUCAGAUAACACACAAACACUCUCGACCCAAUCAACGAAAGUCUGGAAGGUAGCCCCUGUUUUCCUCCAAAAUUAUGUCGUCUGCAGCCAACAUAAUUUUUCAGGCCAAAACAGAUACUCCUUCAAUCACUCACUCCACUCUAGGAGGAGUUAGAACAAAUAAUCAUUGACUUUCGCAAUUAAAUUAUGCCUCUCGCGUCUUGCUUCCUAAGGUUUGCCAACUUAGGGUUUCUUAGGUCCCAACGACCUAUAGCAAAGCUCUAAUACGAACUUAAUCUGUCACGCCCCGGAUGUCUCGUUCCCCGGGCACGCCGACAAAUCGGCCGUAUAUAGAGAAAUUUUCCCUGUAUACGAAGCGACAGCUGUACCUGUAAACAUACAAUACUACAAACAGUAGUAUAGAGCUGCACGAAUAAACAAAAGCUAAACAAACUGAGUUUCAUAUACAUAGUCCAAAUCCAAAAUACAGAGUUACUCGCACUGGCGAGUUAGGUAUGCUAUGUACAUAAACUUGAAACAAACAUCUACCUGCAGUAGGGGCGCCUCUAGCUCUGCUCGUCGGGUAGGGCUCUAACUCGCGACGCCCUUGCCUCGAUCCUGAUCUGCGGGAGGCGCAGCAGUCGAAACCUGUGGCUCUGCAAAACAGGGGUAACAACUGGGCGUGAGAACUACUGUAAAAACAAGUAGUCCUCAGUGGGUGCCGCUCAAAAUAAUAUCGGUCCACCCACUAAGUCUACAGAAGGGAGCAAAGGUAGUAGCAAAUGCUGGAAUAGACUCUACAGCUACUAGUCACUACACUAUCCUGCUCUAUGCUAACCAACUGUAGGAAAAGUCAAAACUGGCUCAGUCUCACUAGGGACUGUGAACACACCCGUCCCGCCUGUCGGAUCGAACCCGAGUCCUACUCCAGGAAUAGCUGGUGGAGACAACUCUUUAGGGAUUGUGAAUACACCCAUCCCGUCUAAUUAGGUAACACCGUUGCUCAAGAGUAACCGGCGGAGAAAACUCUCUAGAGACUGUGAAUACACCCGUCUCGCCUAAUUAGACUACACCGUAUCACAAGAGUAGCCGGUCCCGAAAAAGAUCCAACAGAAUGGCUAAGACCUCACUCACGUCACGACCUCACUAUCUCACCCGGGCUGCCCAAAACGGACCCACCCUGCCUAUAUCAAGCUGCGCCGUACACCACCCCGUGGGUAGCCAGCUUAAGAAUUGUCCAACAGAAGCUGCGACACUCAUCGCACUGAAACCUCAUUCCGGAAUGGCAUUCGUGGGCGCGACCCAACGAGUUUACAAGUAACUCUGUAAGUUCACACGGCUCUCACAGGCUAAGGUCAAGUAAACGACUCUCACUAGUCUAACAACCAACAGGUCACGUGCCCUCGGCACAAUCUGACGCCAAAACGGCGAUACGGGUCCACCGUCAAUCCCGAUAGCACCCAACAGUCCGGAACAGCCUAAACGCUACUGUAAAAAUUCACUCGACAUCCCAGCGCGAGUGUAACUGAAAUCUAAACUACCUGGGAUACUUGCUAUGAUGAUACUGCAACAGUAUAAAAUCAUACAAUAGCCCCUAAGGCUAAAUCAGGUAGUUUAAACAUGUGACAGGUCCAAAUCGCAGGUUUUCUCCUAAUUCAAUUUCCAAGUCCAACAUGUAUAAACUACUCAAUUUAUUA